rnacentral:lncRNA from 1 species
AUUUUUAAAAAAGAAAACCCUAGCACUUCUCCCCCACAUGAUUUCUCCCCCUUUCCCCUUUCUUUUUCCCUCUCUCUUUCUUUUCGCUCAUUUUUCCUCUCACGUCACUUCCGGCCCCCCCCCCCCCCCCAACUUUUUUCUUUUCUUCUCUCUCUCUCUCUUCUCUUUCCCCCUCUCUCGGCCGAAACCCCACCCCUUGUCUUCUUCUUCUUCUUCUUCUUCUUCUUCUUCUUCUUCCUUCCUCUUGUUGGCCGCUGCUUCACCCACCACCACACCGCCACCCCACGCCCUACUCACCACCACCUCUUGGCCACCGAACCCCCACCACCCACCGCUUGUUCGAUGAGCCGUCUCGUCGUUGAGCCCGACGAGCUGUCACGCCGUUCGUGCCACCCCUUGCCGCCGUGAGCCACCACCGCUGUCCCCAAGCCACCGUCACCACCUAUUGUCGCUCGCUCGGCCGUCCGGGCCGUCGUUGCUCCGAACCGCCACUGCAUCCGCCAAAACCGAGCUCUUCCCCCUUUGGUCAUGGGUUGAGCCGCGACCAUUGCCGUCUUCGCCGCACCAAAACCAAAUGGAGUGUUGUUCAUGCCGUUCGUAGUUUUUUUAGGUGAACCGUGAAAGUUCAUGCUGUUAAAGUGGAAGAUAGCUGGGCUCGUGGGUGGUACCGGUUUUGGGCAGAUUGCUUUUUGACAGUAUGAUUUCUUUUGAUAUUUUGAAUUGGAAUCUGGUUUCUUAGGGGGUGCAUGAUAACCAAAAUUUCUGUUCCAUAAAUAGUUUUUCUGUUCCAAACCUGUUUCUG